rnacentral:rRNA from 1 species
UGGCUAACUCCUACGGGAGGCAGCAGUGGGGAAUAUUGCACAAUGGGCGCAAGCCUGAUGCAGCCAUGCCGCGUGUAUGAAGAAGGCCUUCGGGUUGUAAAGUACUUUCAGCGAGGAGGAAGGCAGUCGUGUUAAUAGCACGAUUGAUUGACGUUACUCGCAGAAGAAGCACCGGUUAACUCCGUGCCAGCAGCCGCGGUAAUACGGAGGGUGCAAGCGUUAAUCGGAAUUACUGGGCGUAAAGCGCACGCAGGCGGUCUGUCAAGUCGGAUGUGAAAUCCCCGGGCUCAACCCGGGAACUGCAUUCGAAACUGGCAGGCUAGAGUCUUGUAGAGGGGGGUAGAAUUCCAGGUGUAGCGGUGAAAUGCGUAGAGAUCUGGAGGAAUACCGGUGGCGAAGGCGGCCCCCUGGACAAAGACUGACGCUCAGGUGCGAAAGCGUGGGGAGCAAACAGGAUUAGAAACCCUUGUAGUCCAGCUGG